rnacentral:rRNA from 1 species
GGGUCGGUACAGAGGGUUGCCAAGCCGCGAGGUGGAGCCAAUCCCUUAAAGCCGAUCGUAGUCCGGAUCGUAGUCUGCAACUCGACUACGUGAAGUCGGAAUCGCUAGUAAUCGCAGAUCAGCAUGCUGCGGUGAAUACGUUCCCGGGUCUU